UACGAAGGGGGGCUAGCGUUGCUCGGAAUUACUGGGCGUAAAGCGCACGUAGGCGGACUCUUAAGUCGGUGGUGAAAUCCUGGAGCUCAACUCCAGAACUGCCUUCGAUACUGGGAGUCUUGAGUCCGGGAGAGGUGAGUGGAACUGCGAGUGUAGAGGUGAAAUUCGUAGAUAUUCGCAAGAACACCAGUGGCGAAGGCGGCUCACUGGCCCGGUACUGACGCUGAGGCGCGAAAGCGUGGGGAGCAAACAGG
rnacentral:rRNA from 1 species